UACGUAGGGGGCAAGCGUUGUCCGGAUUUAUUGGGCGUAAAGAGCGUGUAGGCGGCCACACAGGUCUGCUGUGAAAACUCGAGGCUCAACCUCGAGCUGUCGGUGGAAACCGUGUGGCUAGAGUCCGGAAGAGGAGAGUGGAAUUCCUGGUGUAGCGGUGAAAUGCGCAGAUAUCAGGAAGAACACCUAUGGCGAAGGCAGCUCUCUGGGACGGUACUGACGCUGAGACGCGAAAGCGUGGGGAGCGAACAGG
rnacentral:rRNA from 1 species